rnacentral:misc_RNA from 1 species
GACUGAACACUCCUCACAGAGCCUUUUGUGCUUAAGGGGCUUACUUCGAUUCCUUUUGCUUCAACUUUCAGAGGACUGCUCCUUAUCUGAGCUUUAUCUCCCUUCUCUAAAAUUUGCUUCUUAGGAGAUCCCCGCACGGAUGAUUGUGCAGGUUUUGAUUUUCGAAUCAUAUCAAACAGUCCAUCCUCCGUGAGAAAGGGGG